rnacentral:rRNA from 1 species
UGGGGAAUAUUGCACAAUGGGCGGAAGCCUGAUGCAGCAACGCCGCGUGAGUGAUGAAGGCCUUCGGGUUGUAAAGCUCUGUCUUUUGGGACGAUAAUGACGGUACCAAAGGAGGAAGCCACGGCUAACUACGUGCCAGCAGCCGCGGUAAUACGUAGGUGGCAAGCGUUGUCCGGAUUUACUGGGCGUAAAGGAUGCGUAGGCGGAUUUUUAAGUGAGAUGUGAAAACCCUAAGCUUAACUUGGGGACUGCAUUUCAUACUGGAAAUCUAGAGUGCGGGAGAGGAGAAUGGAAUUCCUAGUGUAGCGGUGAAAUGCGUAGAGAUUAGGAAGAACACCAGUGGCGAAGGCGAUUCUCUGGACCGUAACUGACGCUGAGGCAUGAAAGCGUGGGUAGCAAACAGGAUUAGAUACCCUGGUAGUCCACGCCGUAAACGAUGAGUACUAGGUGUAGGAGGUAUCGACCCCUUCUGUGCCGCAGUUAACACAAUAAGUACUCCGCCUGGGAAGUACGAUCGCAAGAUU